GUUAAUGAAAUAAAUUGUCUGCUAUAUAUAGGUUUUGUGUGAACAUACAAAUGAAAUGUACUGUCUCAGAAUAAUGUGGUUGGGGAAAUAUCUGGAGACAAAUACAAUGCAAUUGCAACAUAACAGUUACACACCAGACUCUUAACAGGAAUAAUGUAGUGUGAUACUUGAAAGCCUAAACUCUGAAAUGAGAUUGCCUGAGCUGAGAUCUCAAUUCCUCUAACUAUGUAACCCUGGGCAAGUUACUUCAAAGUGCCUCCGUUUUCUUCUCUGCAAAAUAACCAUUGAUUUGAAAUGUGGAGGAUUUUGAAACCUAAGCUAAGAAAUGUGGGUUUGAUAUGCUGAAAAAUAGGGAGCUACUUAAAAUUUUUGAACAAGCAAGUCACAUGAUGAAAUUAAUUGAGGAACAUUGUAUUUGUGAUUGCAUAUGGAUGGAGUGGGAGGACCUAGAGGCAAAGACAUUAGAUAGGAGACCACCAGAACAAACUAGACGUGAAAGGUGCAGCUGUGGAAAUGGAAAGAGAUGGGCAAAACCAAAAAUCACCACAGAGAAAAAAAAUCAUCCAGAUUUCAUGAUAGAUUGGAUGUAUUUUGAAACACCUCUCUCCAUACAAAUGAAAUAAUUCAGCAAAAUUCUAGAAAAUGCUGGUGUAGGAGCUCAGUGGAAAUCUCCCGUAAGUGCUGUGAGAAAUUAUAAAUUCUGGGGACUCCAGCUGAUACAGUGUGCAUUCACUUACAGCUUCCUUUGCCCCUUUGUACACUAGAGCACAACAGGAAAUAUUGGCUUAUCUCUGUAGGAAGUGUCUCUAUAGGAGUUGCUUACUGAACUGAAUAUCUUUGUUUAGAACUAAUUGACCUUUCUAAAACAGCAUUUUUAAAGAGCUUACUCAAAUAAGGCAGACUUUAACCAUCUGAUAAGUCAGAGACAAAUCAGCCCUCUUCUAAGCAAGGUUGACAGUCAGUGCAAGAGAAAAGAAAGCACAGAAAGAAAGGCACCAUCAGACAAAAGAACAGUGUAUUAGUAAAAACCAGAUAAUUAAGAAAAUUUUAUUUAAUGUGAACAUUGAAUUCUAACACAAAUCCUUUUCCUGCAUUAUGAUAGUAUCUGUGUGAACCAACCUUUUUUCAGCCCUUUUUGUUAUGGAAUGUUAAGAAUGUUAGUUUACAAGGUUAUAAAGUAGAAGAGUCUAAUUAGAAACCAGAAAAUAUCUCAGUCUUUUGGUCUGAAUUUGUUUUCCUUUGGUUAGAUUCUUAAAGUAGAAAAAAAAAAACUACUACUUAUUUUGUAAACAUUUUGAGGAUUUUGAUUCAGAUAUUUUAAAUUAUUAUGAGAGAUAAAGAAUAACCCUGUCCAAAAAAGUAAGAAAAUGAAUAAAAUUUGUUUAAAAGAGGAUUCUCUUAAAAUAUAACCAAAGGGACAGAUUUUGACAGCAGUCUUCAUUGUUGUUCCAUAUGAGUGUUUUCUAAACCUAACAGAUGUAAGCAAUAAAUAAGUAAAAAAAAAAAAAAAAA
rnacentral:lncRNA from 1 species